GGUUAAGAAACAAAGGGCGCACGGUGAAUGCCUUGGCACUAGGAGCCGAUGAAGGACGUGACGAACGACGAAACGCUUUGGGGAGCUGUAAGUAAGCUAUGAUCCAGAGAUAUCCGAAUGGGGGAACCCACUGCUAAAUGCAGUACGCG
rfam:Globicatella sp. HMSC072A10 Globicatella_spHMPREF2811-1.0_Cont622.1, whole genome shotgun sequence.